rnacentral:rRNA from 1 species
CAUUUUUUAAUGCUUCGAAUUUGCAAUGGGAACAAUCUAAAUCACUUAUCGAGGAACAAUUGGAGGGGCAAGUCUGGUGCCAGCAGCCGCGGUAAUUCCAGCUCCAAUAGCGUAUAUUAAAGUUGUUGCAGUUAAAAAGCUCGUAGUUGAAUUUCUGAUUAUGAAUGUACUGGGUAACCGGUCCAUUUAUAGUCAUCCACAUGAGAACCUUUCUCGGCCUUCACUGGUCGGUUGGGGGAUCAUGUACUUUACUUUGAAAAAAUCAGAGUGUUUCAGGCAGGCGUUUUGCAUGAAUACACAAGCAUGGAAUAAUGGAAUAGGACUAGGGUCCAUUUUAUUGGUUAUUGGACCAUAGUAAUGAUUAAUAGGGACAGUUGGGGGCAUUAGUAUUUAAUUGUCAGAGGUGAAAUUCUUGGAUUUAUUAAAGACUAACUUAUGCGAAAGCAUUUGCCAAGGAUGUUUUCAUUAAUCAAGAACGAAAGUUAGGGGAUCAAAGACGAUCAGAUACCGUCUAGUC